GGGGUUGGGGGGGUCCUGGUGGGCACUGGGAGGGAGUUUGGGGGUGCUGGGUGUGACUGGGAGGGAGUUUGGGAGCACUGCCAUCCUCUCGCCACCCUGUGUCCUCCUUCACACCCCGUCUUUCCACAUCCCCCGUUCCCUACCCGGAAUGGUGAUUGCUGUGUAAGAGACGGUUGGAAGUUUCCCUCAUUUGCCUCAUGACCGUCGCCAGGACAGACCCUGAGGGCCCUGGCUGGAGUUCUGGCCUGGUUGAAGUGGAUGCUCACCAAGUGAUUGUGUGCAGGUGUGCUUGCUGUGCCUCCACGGUCUCACACCUGCUUCACCACCCCACAACAGCCCAUGAAUUUCCCCAUCUCUUGGCCAAAUGAACUUUCUGAGCUAACUCUGGUGAUCCCCCCACGGAAGAUCCCUCAUCUGCCUCAUGACCACCAUCAAGGAUGGAGACUGAAGCCCCCUCCCAAGGAAUGAGACUGAGACCCUUAUAAUUCUAACACAGGAUGCUGGCCUGACGGAAGUGGGAUGUCUGCCAAGUGGUGCCUGCAGCAGAGGACUAUAAGAGACCCCUGAGUUAACCAAAGAAUUUGAGAUUCUCCUCGAUGUGACAAGACGGAUCUACUGGCCGGACCACAGGGAUUUCAUCUCUCCAUUGGCAGCUAUUCCCCCCAGACCUUCUUUUUUCCUCUCUCUCUCUCUAUCCUUUAUUCCCUUUCUAAUCCUUCUAUCGCAUUUGCUGUGGGCACUCAGUAAAGGUGCAUUUGUUUUGAUGAAUACUGAAA